UCUGGCCAACUUAAUUUGAAACGUUGACUGGAUAUGCACAUAUAAGUUUACAAGCACACAAGUUGGCUUGGUGGUUGGUGCAUGCGUGCUAUAACGUGCAGAUGUUGGAGUGCACAUGAAAUGAUAGCGCCAUUUUGAUCAUCAGUCAAGCUUCAGGACAGCUUCAUCAACCCUUCAAACAUCAGCGUUUAAAGUAAGCAUCUUUAUUCAUUUUAUUAUAUUUUUUAUAAUGUUGAACUGUUUGUAAUGUUUGUGAAACAUCAGUGUGAGCAUUAAACAUUGUUUGCGACAUGCAAAUGUAUCUAAUGUUGGAGUUUUUAAUGCCAAUAAAAUGUACAAUUGUUUUUGACCUGGUUUUGAAAGUCAUAACUAAGAAAUGUAGUGUCACUGGUCAAGCUUAUUAAUUCAAAGCAAGUUUGCAUGAACGCAGUGCCGGCGUUAAGGAGGGCAAACCCAAAGAGGUUGUUGUGCUGCGUUACAGUUUUUAAUUCAUUUAAUAUAUUAGAUAUUAGAAAAUGGCUCGUUGGUUCUACUUCUGCAAGACCUUCUUCAGGUUUAGAAUGUACUCCUAUCAUUCAGCCUCUCAGCCAGCACCACCUAUUCAAUCUGACAUCACGGAAACACCUGUUAGCACAAACUCGGAAACUGGGGCUAAUGGAGCCAAGGCGUAAUUUUCAAAUCUACAGGCCGUGGAUGAUCUCAUGAUCGAUCAACCUAAUCAAGAAAAUUAAAACAGUACCCUGCACGCAUGUUCGGUGGCAAAAAAAAAAAACUUGCUUUUUUUGUCUAGUUGGUACAUUAAUCAAAACUGGCUUAAGUAAGCGUAAAAGCUAAUUCUGCAUUUUUUUUUUUUGCUGUCGUAAAUGUAAUGUUGGCACGAGCCGUGUGGAAGCGUUUGUGAACGCUGGAUACCGUAAUUAUUUUGUGAUUUUCUUUACAGUAAAUGAGCUGACAGUGUGUACUAGUUGUAUGUGUGUGCCCUUGCACUGUAUUGGUUUUUUAUGCCUCGUUUUUGCAAGUUAUUGUUGCUGAUUAGUUAGUUAUGGUCUGGCGCCGGCUCUGCAUGAACGUUCUUAUCAAGGUAAAAAUAUGUCGCAAUCCCAGUUUUAUAUCUUGCAAAUCUAACUUCAUGGUUUGCAAUGGCUUUAUUUACCACAGUUAUUGGAAAAAAUGUGCGGGCAGGAGAUCAUGACGAACUAAUCAACCCAAACUUCAUUGUUUAUCAAAGACACAUCUCCAGCAGACCAGAGGGAUGAAAAUGGGAAUUCUUGUUCUAACCGAGGAUGAUGUCGCCCCUAGCACACCGCCUACCAUUACAAACUUUGCUGUUGUUUUGGAGGAGGAAGUUGUUCUGAAAGACAUUUCAGACCUGCAAUCUGCUGUUUCUUACCUGUUUGGCCUUAUCUUCGCCUUGGAUUUUCAGUACCCAAAAGAACUCAAAUAUACUUUUGAGUGUGGCUGGAUUAUCUGAAGUGUAGGAAACACGACUCUAAUCUGUGGCAGUGUCCAUCUUCACCCUGGGGACAGAACAGAUGUGAUAAUAGUGAUGAGGUGGCACAUAUUACCUGCACAGGUGGUCCACAAGAACACUGGUCUCUCAGGCUGAGUGGAGGAAAGGGAAGCUGCUCUGGGAGGUUGGAGGUGUAUCAUAACGCUACAUGGGGCUCCGUUUGUGAUGAUCAGUGGAACAUCAGGAACGCUCAGGUGGUGUGCAGACAGCUGGGCACAGCGUGGCCUACACACAUGACCACCACAGACUGCAAUACACACAAACACAGGGACUGUCAUUCUGUUCACCAGCUGAUCAUAAACACCUGAACUCCAUCUCCCACUCACCACACAUAGAAUAUAAAGCUUCUCCCAACACCAGUUCCAUACUGGAU